CCAGUUUCCACUGCCAUCGUGUCUUCGAAAGUAGGAUUGGCUAUAGCUACCAUAUCAUGUAAAGUCUUGAUAUGUGGUUUCAGUGGGUUAACAGUCAUGUGAGUAGUUCCUACCCAGUCAGGUGAGGUAAGCAUAUCUUGCAGAUAGAAUGUCCCCAACUUGUUGUAUGAGCCACCUCCCCUCCAGUACAUGCCCAUUACAUAUUCCCCUGCAUCUUUUGGACUAGGAUGCUCUAUGUUCAGUGUGAGUUUGAUGGGGGUUUACCCAAUAGGUUUACUUAAGGUCAUUCUGGAGAGUAGGGGUUUCCUGUCUUUGUCAAUUCUGUCUGGGGCACUCUGGGGCUUAUAGCCCCAUGGUCUACCCGUGUUCCACCCAGCCGCCUUCCA